rnacentral:rRNA from 1 species
GACGAACGCUGGCGGCGUGCUUAACACAUGCAAGUCGAGCGGAAAGGCCCUUCGGGGUACUCGAGCGGCGAACGGGUGAGUAACACGUGAGUAACCUGCCCCAGACUUUGGGAUAACCCUCGGAAACGGGGGCUAAUACCGGAUACGACACAGCUUCGCAUGGGGUCUGUGUGGAAAGUUUUUCGGUUUGGGAUGGGCUCGCGGCCUAUCAGCUUGUUGGUGGGGUGAUGGCCUACCAAGGCGACGACGGGUAGCCGGCCUGAGAGGGCGACCGGCCACACUGGGACUGAGACACGGCCCAGACUCCUACGGGAGGUAGCAGUGGGGAAUAUUGCACAAUGGGCGGAAGCCUGAUGCAGCGACGCCGCGUGAGGGAUGACGGCCUUCGGGUUGUAAACCUCUUUCAGCAGGGACGAAGCGUAAGUGACGGUACCUGCAGAAGAAGCGCCGGCCAACUACGUG